rfam:Streptomyces sp. MP131-18 scaf_01, whole genome shotgun sequence.
GUUCCCGGGACCACCCGGGGGCGUCCGCUGACACCGGUACCUGGUACGGCCGGUGCAG